AAGAUUUUAAGUUAAAUUAAACUAUUAACCUUCAAAGUUAGAUAUAAUAAAAUAUUAUUAAAUCUUA
rnacentral:tRNA from 1 species